CGGCAAGGAGCACUAAGUCGUAACAAGGUAUCCGUAGGUGAACCUGCAGAAGGAUCA
rnacentral:rRNA from 1 species